rnacentral:rRNA from 1 species
GUGACCUCAAAUCAGGUAGGACUACCCGCUGAACUUAAGCAUAUCAAUAAGCGGAGGAAAAGAAACUAACAAGGAUUCCCCUAGUAACUGCGAGUGAAGCGGGAAAAGCUCAAAUUUAAAAUCUGGCGGCCUUUUUGCUGUCCGAGUUGUAAUCUAGAGAAGUGUUAUCCGCGCUGGACCGUGUACAAGUCUCCUGGAA